rnacentral:rRNA from 1 species
UACAGAGGUGGCAAGCGUUGUUCGGAAUUACUGGGCGUAAAGGGCGCGUAGGCGGUCUUGUCAGUCCCUUGUGAAAUCCCCCGGCUCAACUGGGGAACUGCACGGGAAACAGCAGGGCUUGAGUGUGGGAGAGGUGAGUGGAAUUCCUGGUGUAGCGGUGAAAUGCGUAGAUAUCAGGAGGAACACCUGUGGCGAAAGCGGCUCACUGGACCACAACUGACGCUGAUGCACGAAAGCUAGGGGAGCAAACAGG